CAGCAGCCGCGGGAAUACGGAGGGUGCGAGCGUUAAUCGGAUUUACUGGGCGUAAAGCGUGCGUAGGCGGCUUCUUAAGUCGGAUGUGAAAUCCCUGAGCUUAACUUAGGAAUUGCAUUCGAUACUGGGAAGCUAGAGUAUGGGAGAGGAUGGUAGAAUUCCAGGUGUAGCGGUGAAAUGCGUAGAGAUCUGGAGGAAUACCGAUGGCGAAGGCAGCCAUCUGGCCUAAUACUGACGCUGAGGUACGAAAGCAUGGGGAGCAAACAGGAUUAGAUACCCCCGUAGUCCCUGUCUCUUAUAC
rnacentral:rRNA from 1 species